rnacentral:rRNA from 1 species
GAUGAACGCUGGCGGCGUGCUUAACACAUGCAAGUCGAACGAUGAAGCCCAGCUUGCUGGGUGGAUUAGUGGCGAACGGGUGAGUAACACGUGAGUAACCUGCCCUUGACCCUGGGAUAAGCCUGGGAAACUGGGUCUAAUACUGGAUAUGACUUCUCAUCGCAUGGUGGGGGGUGGAAAGAUUUAUUGGUCUUGGAUGGACUCGCGGCCUAUCAGCUUGUUGGUGAGGUAAUGGCUCACCAAGGCGACGACGGGUAGCCGGCCUGAGAGGGUGACCGGCCACACUGGGACUGAGACACGGCCCAGACUCCUACGGGAGGCAGCAGUGGGGAAUAUUGCACAAUGGGCGCAAGCCUGAUGCAGCGACGCCGCGUGAGGGAUGACGGCCUUCGGGUUGUAAACCUCUUUCCGUAGGGAAGAAGCGAGAGUGACGGUACCUGCAGAAGAAGCGCCGGCUAACUACGUG